UACGGGGGGUGCGAGCGUUGUCCGGAUUCACUGGGCGUAAAGGGCGCGUAGGCGGCCUUGUUAGUCAGACGUGAAAUCCCCAAGCUUAACUUGGGAACUGCGUCUGAUACUGCAAGGCUUGAGUUCGGGAGAGGGAUGUGGAAUUCCAGGUGUAGCGGUGAAAUGCGUAGAUAUCUGGAGGAACACCGAUGGCGAAGGCAGGUCACUGGGCCGCAACUGACGCUGAGGAGCGAAAGCAUGGGGAGCGAACAGG
rnacentral:rRNA from 1 species